rnacentral:rRNA from 1 species
AGGACGAACGCUGGCGGCGCGCCUAACACAUGCAAGUCGAGCGAUAACCAGGGCUUGCCCUGGGGACAGCGGCGAACGGGUGCGUAACACGUGAGCAACCUGCCCCAAAGACCGGGACAACCCGAGGAAACUCGGACUAAUACCGGAUGCCCUCACCGGGUCGCAUGGUCUGGUGAGGAAAUGGAUUCCGCUUUGGGAUGGGCUCGCGGUCUAUCAGCUUGUUGGUGGGGUAACGGCCUACCAAGGCGACGACGGAUAGCUGGUCUGAGAGGACGAUCAGCCACACUGGGACUGAGACACGGCCCAGACUCCUACGGGAGGCAGCAGUGGGGAAUCUUGCGCAAUGGGGGAAACCCUGACGCAGCGACGCCGCGUGCGGGAUGAAGGCCUUCGGGUUGUAAACCGCUUUCAGCAGGGACGAAAUUGACGGUACCUGCAGAAGAAGGCCCGGCCAACUACGUGCCAGCAGCCGC